rnacentral:rRNA from 1 species
AUAAAGUGGCGAACGGCUGAGUAACACGUGGGCAACCUGCCCUUUGCACUGGGAUAGCCUCGGGAAACCGAGGUUAAUACCGGAUACUCCAUAUUUGUCGCAUGGCGAAUAUGGGAAAGCUCCGACGGCAAAGGAUGGGCCCGCGGCCUGUUAGCUAGUUGGUGGGGUAGUGGCCUACCAAGGCAAUGAUGGGUAGCCGGGUUGAGAGACCGACCGGCCAGAUUGGGACUGAGGCACGGCCCAGACUCCUACGGGAGGCAGCAGUA